CACGUAGGGCGCAAGCGUUGUCCGGAAUUAUUGGGCGUAAAGAGCUCGUAGGCGGUCUGUUACGUCUGCUGUGAAAUCCCGAGGCUCAACCUCGGGUCUGCAGUCGAUACGAGCAAACUAGAGUGUUGCAGGGGAGACUGGAAUUCCUGGUGUAGCGGUGAAAUGCGCAGAUAUCAGGAGGAACACCGGUGGCGAAGGCGGGUCUCUGGGCAACAACUGACGCUGAGGAGCGAAAGCGUGGGGAGCGAACAGG
rnacentral:rRNA from 1 species